GAGGAAUAUUGGGCAAUGGACGCAAGUCUGACCCAGCCAUGCCGCGUGAAGGAUGACGGCCCUACGGGUUGUAAACUUCUUUUAUACGGGAAGAAACCCUCGUACGUGUACGGGGUUGACGGUACCGUAAGAAUCAGCAUCGGCUAACUCCGUGCCAGCAGCCGCGGUAAUACGGAGGAUGCAAGCGUUAUCCGGAUUUAUUGGGUUUAAAGGGUGCGUAGGCGGAAUAAUAAGUCAGUGGUGAAAUCCUGCAGCUUAACUGUAGAACUGCCAUUGAUACUGUUGUUCUUGAGUACAAUUGAGGCAGGCGGAAUGUGUAAUGUAGCGGUGAAAUGCUUAGAUAUUACACAGAACACCGAUUGCGUAGGCAGCUUGCUAAAUUGUAACUGACGCUGAGGCACGAAAGCGUGGGGAUCGAAC
rnacentral:rRNA from 1 species